GACGAACGCUGGCGGCGUGCUUAACACAUGCAAGUCGAACGGAAAGGCCCUGCUUUUGUGGGGUGCUCGAGUGGCGAACGGGUGAGUAACACGUGAGUAACCUGCCCUUGACUUUGGGAUAACUUCAGGAAACUGGGGCUAAUACCGGAUAGGAGCUCCUGCUGCAUGGUGGGGGUUGGAAAGUUUCGGCGGUUGGGGAUGGACUCGCGGCUUAUCAGCUUGUUGGUGGGGUAGUGGCUUACCAAGGCUUUGACGGGUAGCCGGCCUGAGAGGGUGACCGGCAACAUGGGGAAUGAGGAAGGGCCCAGUGUGCAAGGGGGGCAAAGGGGGGGAAAUAUGGCACAGGGGGGGGACGCGGGAGAAAGCAGCCCCGGGGGGGGAAUAGCGCCUUGGGGGUGUAAACCCGCUUUCGCCGGUGACGAAGGGUGAGGGAGGGGAAUGGAUAAAGAAGCACGGGCAAAUUAGGUG
rnacentral:rRNA from 1 species